CACCACUGAGAGAGGUGGAUGCAUCGAGUCUAAAGAGCAAUUUUCUAAGUCACUGCUUGAAAGAGUCAUUGCAUCAAACGGACAUUGUUAUUAGUCUGGUGCCUCACGGAGUGAGAUGGAAGCCUAUAUAGUGUAAAGAGUAAAGAGCAAGAUUCUUCAAUUAUGGAACUUGAAAAAUCUUUCUGAGUUUCAAAAGAAAAUACAACUCAAUUAUUUGAAUAUGAAGAAAAGUUUUAUUAAAGAUAACUAAGAUGUGCUAGCCAACAAAUGCAUCGAGGGCACACACAAGACUUCUAUAUAAAAAAUAGACUGUUGUUUGAGACUGUAUUCCAUUGCCAUACCUACUUUAAGCUCGUAUGUAUGUGCACUGAUUACUAAUAUGUGAUCCCAAACAAAUGCAUUGGGCAGCACAUACACAUGUCUUUUAUAUCAAAUACGACUGUUGUUUGAAACUAUACCAAAAUGUCAUACACACUGUAAAAGGAUUAUAUGCGGAAGUUUGACAUGGGUCGACCCGUGAGGAACUAACUAUUUAUGUAAUUUGAAUAACUGCAAACGGAUUCUUCUCUUUAUUAAUGAAUUGAAUCAUAGCUCAGAAAACUAAAAUACAAUUGUUAUUUGUAUUUUAACACCCUGCAAUGCAAUCCUGUAUUUGAUGUACUGGUAUGAUAAGUUUAAAAUGAUUCUUUCAUUCUACGUUAUUCUUAUAUUUUUAUUACUGUUAUUGAACAUGACUGAUUAAUUACUGAUAUUGUAUAUUUUUUAAUAGGCUUUUUUCGUAAUAUGCUGUUUCCAUAUUUAGCUAUCUUAUUUGUCAUGUUCAUUAUAUUCUAUUGUAGUUUUGGAGAAAUUUUCAACAGGAAAACAAGAUAUCGUGACAACGACAAAGGAAGAAAAGUAUUAACAGAGCUUGUCAUCUAUAGUGUUCAUUUUGACUUUAGUCGAUAUAAUAUUUUUCUGAAUAUAUUAAUACUGAUACAAUAAUGCACGAAGUAUUAUGUUUAUUGCUGAUAUUCAAUAUUUAUUAAUAAAGUUUUUUU